rnacentral:rRNA from 1 species
GAUGAACGCUGGCGGCGUGCCUAAUACAUGCCAGUCGAGCGAACAGACGAGGAGCUUGCUCCUCUGACGUUAGCGGCGGACGGGUGAGUAACACGUGGAUAACCUACCUAUAAGACUGGGAUAACUUCGGGAAACCGGAGCUAAUACCGGAUAAUAUGUUGAAUCGCAUGGUUCAACAGUGAAAGACGGUCUUGCUGUCACUUAUAGAUGGAUCCGCGCCGCAUUAGCUAGUUGGUAAGGUAACGGCUUACCAAGGCAACGAUGCGUAGCCGACCUGAGAGGGUGAUCGGCCACACUGGAACUGAGACACGGUCCAGACUCCUACGGGAGGCAGCAGUAGGGAAUCUUCCGCAAUGGGCGAAAGCCUGACGGAGCAACGCCGCGUGAGUGAAGAAGGUCUUCGGAUCGUAAAACUCUGUUAUUAGGGAAGAACAAAUGUGUAAGUAACUAUGCACGUCUUGACGGUACCUAAUCAGAAAGCCACGGCUAACUACGUG